ensembl:lncRNA
GUUAAAAUUGACCACAAAGUGUAAAUAGGAUAGUUUUGGUCAUAAUGUCAGUCUCAUCCAAAAUCAGAGAUUUGCGAGAUAAUAGAAAAAAUGUUAUGUCACGGAAUGAAGGGUGCCCUAACAGAAUGAAGGGUACCCUAACAGUUUUCCUUGAGUUGGGUUUAUUUCAAUGUGGUUUGACAUUUUAAAUCCCUAUGGGGCUAGUUAAGGACCAUCAGUAAAUUACACAAUGUACAUGGAACAAUCAUUUAAAAUAUUAAUAGCUCCAAAUUUUAAAAGAAGAAGAAAAUGUACUACUUUAAAAUGAAGAUAGCCUGGGCAGCACCUUUUAGGCUGUCACAGACACUAUAAUGGCACAAAUACAAAGAUGAGUCCAUCUAUCACUAUGGCCUCUUGUUCGCACACGUAUCUGCCCUCUCAUUGGCUAGAAUGGUUCCACCUGAUCUCGCCUACUCCCACCUGCUUUCUGUCUUUGAGGACAUGUAUUUCCAUUGUUAGAGCGGUCAAUCGACUAUCUUGUCAAUAUAAUAGACAAUCUUUGCUACGUGGGAACACACACACAAAAGACACCCACUUUAGCCCCCCCGUUUGGCUUCAGUCAUGGUCUUCUUAAUGACCAAGCCAAAAAAUGAGGCCAAAUCAGGAACUUCAUCUCCCCUUUAAACAGACUGAAUGCAUGUUUCCAGAGAAUAUAAAACCAGGCUCUUGUCUACAUACUAACAGUUGAUUGUUUUACUAAAUUGACGGGAAGGAUCCAAACAAUGUAAUGUAUGUAUUGUAGUUUUGGAUUAUUUAAUCUUAUCAAUUUCAAUUGAACCAAAGGGUUUCAUUUACAGUAAUGGAAUAUCAUGUUAUGAUUGGAUCUUGAAUUGUAUUCAGAGCUGGGAUUGUAGUGAGGAUAAAAGCUGCCGUGACUGACUCUUCAUGGGGAGACAUGACCUGAUUCUAACUCAGCACAUGGAGACAGAGAUAAUGAAUAGAGAUAUACAUUAAUUAGAUGGAAUCUGCCUGUGGAGGAAAGUGGAUUGAAGGGAUCGGAGACCAGAAGUCUGGAUUAGAGAUGAAAUAGAGGAAUGGAUCUGAAUUAGAUUACAACUGAAAGGGAUUGAAUGAACUCUUCCUUGAACAAUACCAAGGUGAGGAGGGAAGGAAUCGAGGUGAGAAGAGAAGGAAUGGAGGUGAGAAGGGAAGGAAUCGAGGUGAGACGGGAAGGAAUGGAGGUGAGGGAAUUUUGUGGAUGUUGAAGUGGAAUUGAUUUGAUGGAAUUGUCCUGAUUGGUUUAUGUGGAUACCAGUCCAAAUGACAACCAGGGUCCUGAUAUAAUUUGUUUUUGUUUUUGUUUCAUACAGUGCGAUCUAAAUCAACUUAGGGGGUGAAAUGAUUACUGGUUGCUAAAGAAUACACUAUAGUGUGCAUACAGUAGAACAAAACCUUCUCCUGUUGGGUUUUGAAGAUGUGACUCCUAGUUAUCUCCUGUUGGGUUUUGAAGAGGUGACUCCUAGUUAUCUCCUGUUGGGUUUUGAAGAGGUGACUCCUAGUUAUCUCCUGUUGGGUUUUGAAGAGGUGACUCCUAGUUUUCUCCUACUGGGUUUUGAAGAGGUGACCCCUAGUUAUCUCCUGUUGGGUUUUGAAGAGGUGACCCCUAGUUAUCUCCUGUUGGGUUUUGAAGAGGUGACUCCUAGUUUUCUCCUACUGGGUUUUGAAGAGGUGACUCCUAGUUAUCUCCUGUUGGGUUUUGAAGAGGUGACUCCUACUGGGUUUUGAAGAGGUGACUCCUAGUUAUCUCCUGUUGGGUUUUGAAGAGGUGACUCCUACUGGGUUUUGAAGAGGUGACUCCUAGUUAUCUCCUGUUGGGUUUUGAAGAGGUGACUCCUAGUAAUCCAAUAGAUCAUACAAUAUUCUUGGUAGCCUACAUGCAAAGCUGUCCUUUUUCUUUCAGUUGUAUUUGAAUGGUCUGGUAUGAGGUUGUGUGUCAUAGGAAGAGAUAGUUCUGAUUGUUAGUGUAUACAGCACUGCCUUUAUCAGACUCAUAUUAGUCAUACUGACUAGCAGCAGUCAUUUAGUAUAAAUAACUCUUACUGUCAUCUUUGUAAUGGCUGUUUGUUUUAUAGGUGUGUGUGUGUGUGUGUGUGUGUGUGUGUGUGUGUGUGUGUGUGUGUGUGUGUGUGUGUGUGUGUGUGUGUGU